UACGGAGAGUGCAAACGUUGUUCGGAUUCACUGGGCGUAAAGGGCACGUAGGCGGCUCGGCAAAUCGGUCGUGGAAUCUCGACGCUUACCGUCGAAACGGCGGCCGAAAAUACCGGGCUCGAGGGCGUGAGGGGUCACUGGAACUCCUGGUGAAGCGGUGAAAUGCGUAGAUAUCAGGAGGAACGCCGGAGGCGAAAGCGAGUGACUGGCGCGUUCCUGACGCUGAGGUGCGAAAGCUAGGGGGAGCAAACAGG
rnacentral:rRNA from 1 species